GAUGAACGCUGGCGGCGUGCCUAAUACAUGCAAGUCGAGCGAACGGACGAGAAGCUUGCUUCUCUGAUGUUAGCGGCGGACGGGUGAGUAACACGUGGAUAACCUACCUAUAAGACUGGGAUAACUUCAGGAAACCGGAGCUAAUACCGGAUGAUAUUUUGAACCGCAUGGUUCAAAAGUGAAAGACGGUCUUGCUGUCACUUAUAGAUGGAUCCGCGCUGCAUUAGCUAGUUGGUAAGGUAACGGCUUACCAAGGCAACGAUGCAUAGCCGACCUGAGAGGGUGAUCGGCCACACUGGAACUGAGACACGGUCCAGACUCCUACGGGAGGCAGCAGUAGGGAAUCUUCCGCAAUGGGCGAAAGCCUGACGGAGCAACGCCGCGUGAGUGAUGAAGGUCUUCGGAUCGUAAAACUCUGUUAUUAGGGAAGAACAUAUGUGUAAGUAACUGUGCACAUCUUGACGGUACCUAAUCAGAAAGCCACGGCUAACUACGUG
rnacentral:rRNA from 1 species